rnacentral:rRNA from 1 species
GACGUAGGGCGCGAGCGUUGUCCGGAAUUACUGGGCGUAAAGGGUCUGUAGGUGGCUUGCUAAGUCAGACGUGAAAUCCCUCAGCUUAACUGGGGAACUGCGUCUGAUACUGGCAAGCUUGAGUGCAGGAGAGGAACGCGGAAUUCCAGGUGUAGCGGUGAAAUGCGUAGAUAUCGAGAGGAACACCAGUGGCGAAGGCGGGCAUCUGGGCCAACACUGACGCUGAGGCGCGAAAGCUAGGGGAGCAAACAGG